rnacentral:lncRNA from 1 species
AGCAUCUCCAGGAUCCUCAGGUUCGUCCCAGGAGGAUAAGCAGCCUGUGAGUCGGUGCUGUCCCUGGCUAACGGCUUUCCUGGGCUGCCUCCACAACCCAGGACCUGCCACACACAAGCAAGGUAUGAACAAAAGAAACAUGCUUCACUUCUGGGCAGAAUCCCCAAGAGCUACCAUGAGGUCCUCCGCUUCUCUUUUCUCCCUACCACAAGACUGACAUGACUCCAAGAGGGACUGCUCCUUUAGCCUGGGUCCCUAGAAUGAAGAUUGAUAUGCAGAAAAACUUCAGCCAGCCUGCAAUGGACUUGUGGGGUACUGGGAACGGGUUGGUGAAUAACACAGGUAAAAUCUCAUCCACCGUGGAGUUGCCUGCCAAGGUAGAAGAC